CCGAGCCGGAGGUGCUGAAGCGAGGUUACGUCCAAUGGAUCGACGGUAGUCGAACCUACAAAGAAAGCUCCCAUUGGAGUUGGCUCCGAUGAGGACUCCGGUGGGGACCCUCCGAUGCUCAAAUCAGAUUUUUUGCAGUAGAUGGAAAAGAACAAGCGAUCAUGAGAGAGAAAGGAGGAGUAUUUUUUUUGGGGUCUCCAAAUUACCUUUUUAUAGGUG
rnacentral:lncRNA from 1 species